UACGAAGGGGGCUAGCGUUGCUCGGAAUGACUGGGCGUAAAGGGCGCGUAGGCGGAUGGCACAGUCAGAUGUGAAAUUCCCGGGCUUAACCUGGGGGCUGCAUUUGAUACGUGUGAUCUAGAGUGAGGAAGAGGGUCGUGGAAUUCCCAGUGUAGAGGUGAAAUUCGUAGAUAUUGGGAAGAACACCGGUGGCGAAGGCGGCGACCUGGUUCAUUACUGACGCUGAGGCGCGAAAGCGUGGGGAGCAAACAGG
rnacentral:rRNA from 1 species